AAGCUAGCUGAAGAUAUGGUUACUCGAGGUUCCUUAACCUCUAGCUUGAAUCAACUUGUUCAUCAAAAUCAUCUAACGUCACCUCAACCACUCAAUAACCAUAAUCUGCGAGUCUCACCAACCAUCACAAUUAAUGGAGAUGAUGCCUCGUAUGCUGUUGGAGUUGGAAAUGCCGAUAUUAGUAAUGGCAAUCUCAGGAGCAGUGUCAUGAGUGAUGCUGUAAGCUGUGUGUCGGAGCUUUGGCCUUGAGAAUGAGAGAAUAUCAAUAUCGGAUUGCCUUUCCACUGUAAAAUUAGGUGUAUGUGUCUUCUUAUGUCUUAGGUUGUUUCCUGUCAUCCUCACUUGUGGUAAUGUUGUUGUCUGUACAAUAUAUAGUUGUUUUCUGCUUAUAAGUACAAUAAUUAAUGGAUUUCUUUUUUU
rnacentral:misc_RNA from 1 species